CCCUGAUCUCCCAAAAUUUGGUCAAGAUCUAAAGUUUAUUUUGCUGUACAACUCCUUUUUGUUGUUGUUGUUGUUUUACUUGCUUCCAACAAGGAAGGCAUCAUUUCCUGUUUCCAUGACGAUGGAAUGCAGGUUACUCCUUCAUGGAGUUUUAGCUUGCUCCCAGCAGAGAAGAUGAGUUCAAGUUUUUUCCUGCUUCUAGGAUGGUAGAAAGCAGUCUUCAGGCCAGGCGCAGUAACUCAUACCUGUAAUCUCAGCACUUUGGGAGGCUGAGGUGGGCAGAUUACCUGAGGUCAGGAGUUCGAAACCAGCCUGGACAACAUGAUGAAACUCCAUCUCAUCUAAAAAUACAAAGAUUAGCCAAGUGUGGUGGCACGCGCAUGUAGUUCCAGCUACUUGGGAGGCUGAGGCAUGAGAAUCACUUGAACCUGGCAGGCUGAAGUUGCAGAGAGCCAAGAUCACACCACUACACUCCAGCCUGGGAAACAGAGCUAGCCUCUGUCUCAAAAGAGAAAAAAAAAAGAAAGCAAUCUUCAGCCUGAGACCCAUCCCUAGGUGUGUAACAUUUAUCCUUGGAAAGAGCUUGCUUUCAGGACAACCCUAAAUGGAGAGAAAGGAUGUAACUACCUUCAUUUUCCUUCCAGUUGAAAUGCCAAAAUUCCACAUUAAUGGGAUGAAGCCCUUAGCAGGAACUAAAUCAGCCAGCACCUUGAUCUUGGACUUCCCAGUCUCCAUAACUGUGAAUAUGUUUUUAGGCUAAGUGAUGGAACCAGUGGAGAAGAAAAAAUUGGAACUGUAGGAGAAGGAGGAAAACUGAUGAAACAAGAACCUGAAGUAAAGAACUGAGUGGGCUCAAAAGGGCAAAAGGAGACUUCAGCAUUGGGCAAAAAGAGGUUCUCGUCUUUCUCAAAGGCAAAAAGUAAGAAGAGAUGUUGUGGUGUACACACCGCUCUUAAGCAAGUGAAAGCAUUCCUGCUUGCAAUUUACAGCAAUCUAUUAAUUCUCAGCAAAAAUGGAAAGUGGAUCAACAUCUUCCUCCACUAUUAAAAUAACAACAGAAAUACAAUCCUAUUGACUAUUUUUUUAUUUCUCUCUUACCGUGUGAAUGUCCCAGGUCUUUUGUAAAAAUUAUCUUUUGUUUGAAAGAUCUA
rnacentral:lncRNA from 1 species